GAGUGCCUUCAUCGCUGCUGGUUUACUGCUGCCACACCGCCCGCUGAGCCUCUGCUCUGCCCUCGCCUGGUAGGUGGGGCUCCGAGCGAGGUUCCCAGGGAGGCCCCGGAGUUGGCUGUUUCUGGCCUCGUGGUUUGGCAGCGGCUCUGCUCCUCGCCUGCCGUGGCUCUAUUCCGGAUUUUUUAGGGUGCUGUAGUCCCUCAUCUGGAAUCCUUGGCUUCUUGAAGGUAUUCUCAUAUGUGGAUAAUUGUUCACGUUGCUGUUUCUGGAGAGACAAGUGCUAGAAAUUUCAUUGCUGCCAUUUUGCUGACGUCACUCUCCUUUACCCCCACUGUGUUGGCUCUGACCCAGGAGCUCAAGGUCUGAAUGUCCUUAGAGGCGAUGGACAGAAAUAUGUUAAGAAAUGAACGAAACCUUGCUCAAUGGUAAGAGUCUCCAUGAUGUCUUCUAUUCUUUUCUCAAGCCCAAGUGGCUGCACCAGCUUGCAUUCCUGCCAACAAUGCAGAAGAGAUCUUCUUUCUCCGCAU